rnacentral:tRNA from 1 species
UCUGCCGGGGCUUCGGCCUGAGCGACGGCGGCCGGGGGCCGCCGUCGGCGCCGAGCCGUCGACGCGGGUUCGACGGCUCGGCGCCUGUC